CUUUAGUCUUUCUUGUGAUAUAUACAUGGUGUUGAUAUGGAUUCUCAAACUUUGCUUUUGUGCUUUUCAUUUUUCUAGAAGAGGUCCAAUGCCCUGAGGAAGAUUCUAUUAGUAAUUGAAAUGAAUUGGAUAUCCCUCUACCCGUAACCACCAGUUCAUCCACUGGUGGUCACUACAAGUAGCUGGAAUUGCCACUUUCAAUCAUACUGGCUGGAGGAUCUACAGGGGGGAGAAUGAGAGGAAUUAUGUCCAAUAUUCAGAAGAGCUACCAGGGCUGCCUUUUUGGAAUAAAAGCCCUUUCCCUAAACAGACCCAUAAACGCACAACAGAUUCUCAACAGACCGAAUCAUCAUGUGGUGCCAGAGG